CCCCUAAGAUUGAAUUUUUUUGCUUCUCUUUGUAUAGCAAAGAAAAGAUGAAAAACUUCUCCCUCUGAACAUUUGACAAUCAUUUAAUAAGUGUUCUUCUACUGUUGAUGAUUGUCAGAAAGGUACUUGUUUAUGACCUAGAAGAGACAUAUUUUAUGAACAUUUAAAUAAUUCAGUUAGUUCUGAUAACCCACAAGUAGCUGAUGCAGUAGAACAAGUUUGAGAGUGGCCUUGACCUUCUAAGACUUAAGUGUUUUCCCUCACACUAACCUACCUCUGUCAGUGAUCCCCAGAAGCCUAAAGGGCUUUACCAUGUGUAGUUUAACAUUUUCUGACUUCACCAACUGCUGCCAGGAACACAGCUGAUAAUUCAGCAACUUAACCCAAAACAGGAAAGGGAAGACCUAGCGAUGCCUGGAGAAACUGACUUACCCUCAAUACACUCAGUCCAAAGAAGACCUGGGAACUGAAUCUUUGCUGAAACCUGGGAUUUUCGUCAGCUUUUCUCAUUGUGGACAGUAAAACUGAAGAGAGCGACAAAAGAAAUGAAGAAAGUGCAAGAGACCUUCAAGGCUCCCUGGGCCUGUUAACUCUCAGCUCAGGUUCUGUGAUGGCUGUCAGAAGGCCCGGGAGAGCGCUGUGUAAUGCCCACCAUCUGCCAGUUGGGACAAAUUCCUUUGUAACAGGAAAAGAAGAGGUUCAUUCCUCAUUUUAACUGAUGUCAGUGAAGAUUUACUCUGGAUCCACAAGUGCUACCCAGGCUGCAAGAUUUUUAAAACAAAAACCAAAGCACAGUGGAAGAGACUGUGCUUAGUGGUGGUUGAAGACUGAAUGUUGGAGGCCUGCUAUUGUGUUUUUCCUUCUUGAUUACCAUCCAAGAACCGCUCAUUUGAGGGAUGUCACCUGGGUAGAAAGAACAUCCUACCAUUGACCUGUCUAGCUGAAGAACUCAAACUGGAUUUGACUACUUUAUU